rnacentral:sRNA from 1 species
CUGAUUAUUCGCACCAUUCAACGAAUGGUGGGUUAGCGUACGUCUUGCAACAGUGACAACAACCCGCCCCCAAGAGGCGGGUUUU